rnacentral:rRNA from 1 species
GAUGAACGCUGGCUACAGGCUUAACACAUGCAAGUCGUGGGGAAACGGCAUUAUGUGCUUGCACAUUCUGGACGUCGACCGGCGCACGGGUGAGUAUCGCGUAUCCAACCUGCCCCUUACUUGGGGAUACCCCGUUGAAAGACGGCCUAAUACCCGAUGUGUUUCAUUGACGGCAUCCGAUAUGAAACAAAGGUUUUCCGGUAAGGGAUGGGGAUGCGUCUGAUUAGCUUGUUGGCGGGGCAACGGCCCACCAAGGCGACGAUCAGUAGGGGUUCUGAGAGGAAGGUCCCCCACAUUGGAACUGAGACACGGUCCAAACUCCUACGGGAGGCAGCAGUGAGGAAUAUUGGUCAAUGGACGCAAGUCUGAACCAGCCAAGUAGCGUGCAGGAUGACGGCCCUAUGGGUUGUAAACUGCUUUUAUGUGGGAAUAAAGUGGCGCACGUGUGCGCCAUUGCAUGUACCUCAUGAAUAAGGACCGGCUAAUUCCGUGCCAGCAGCCGCGGUAAUACGGAAGGUCCGGGCGUUAUCCGGAUUUAUUGGGUUUAAAGGGGAGUGUAGGGGGUCUGUUAUGCGUGUUGUGAAAUUGAGGUGCUCAACAUUAACUUGUGCGUGAUGUGUCAACUUGAGUGCAGUGGGUUAGGGGAAGUCUGUUGUGUGUGUUAAAUGCUUAUGUAUUGUAUGAGCUCCGGUGGCUGAGUGUGCUGUUGUGUGUUCUAAUGUGGUGCUCAAGGUGGGUGUAUUGACUGGAGUGAUGCAUGAGUGGGCGGUGGAGAAUUGGUGUGUGGUGAUGGAGCGUGGGGACCCGGGGUGUGUGAAUGAAGAACAAAGAGAAGAUGUGGUGUGAUUCUGGUGUGUGUGUUGAUGUGUGUGUAUGUGUGUGUAUGCGUGUUGUUGUGCGGUGUGUGUUUGGUGUUUGAAUGGGUGGUGAUGUGAGUGUGUUGUUGUGUGUCUUGUGUGUGCGUGUGUGUGUCCUGUGCGUGGUGUUCUGUUUGCCG